rnacentral:rRNA from 1 species
UACGUAGGGUGCAAGCGUUGUCCGGAAUUAUUGGGCGUAAAGGGCUCGUAGGCGGUUUGUCGCGUCGGGAGUGAAAUCCACUGGCUUAACUGGUGGCUUGCUUUCGAUACGGGCAGACUGGAGGUAUGCAGGGGGAGAACGGAAUUCCUGGUGUAGCGGUGAAAAUGCGCAGAUAUCAGGAGGAACACCGAUGCGAAGGCAGGUCUCUGGGCAUUAACUGACGUGAGGAGCGAAAAGCGUGGGGGAGCGAACAGG